GGUUCUGCCAAGGUACUGAUGCUUGUAGCAACAUCAAAAUGAAUUCCUCUAUAUGUUGAUCCAUUUCAAUAAAGUAUUUCUGCUAUGGCAUCCUUUUGGCUUUCUAGUUUAUUUGAUUGAUCAAUUUUAUCUCUUUGCUUUUACCUGCACAACAGAUUGCUAUGGUUCUACUGUUAUUAAACAAAAAAUAAAGGGAUGCGUUUUUUAUUUUGCUAAAUUUGCAUCAACACUUUAUAUUUGCCUCUGGGUUUGUUGAAAGUUCAAACUUUUUGUCCCCUAAAAAAUGCUUAAACCACCAAACAGUGAAAUGGUGCUGUUGGUUUGCUUUUUGGUUUUGCAUUUGUAGUACUUGUAGCUGAGUAUGCUAUUGAAGGAACAAAGUUGUCCUUCUCUUUUUUCAGUAUGGUCAGUUGUAUUGUUACUCUUUUAACAAUUUGCAUUAUGGCACAUUUGCCUUAACAUUUUUACAUUUGAUUUUUGAUUUCCGGCCUCAACUGUGAAGAAAGUAAUAUACUUCAUGUUGUUAAAUAUCUGAUUAAUAGUUUAAUAGUUAAAACCUUGUAACCCAUUUUGUGAAUGUGCAUUCCAUUUCCCAACCCUGCAAUAAUUUUGGUGUUCAUGUAUCUGGAAUGUGAAACUCCCAAUGGCAAUCUCUUAUUUUAGGAUCUCCUUCUACUUCUAGAGUAUAAUUGUACCUGUGGAGGAACAGCCACAAUUGUCAGGGAAUGUACGACUAUAUGUUCAAUUUCUCCUUGUAUAAAAUGGAAAAUUUGGUGCACCGUCACAUGUGUACCAGCUGUUUGAGUUAAUGUGUUGCAAUCAUUUAGGUUCUACGUGUUAGUGGAUCUUGUGGUCAUUAGUGGAUGUUGUGACCAUGUAACCUUACUGUGUUCUUACAGUGGAUGUCAUAUGCAUUGGCC
rnacentral:misc_RNA from 1 species